GACUUCACAUCCUUUGACAUCAGCACAGCUUUGAAAGGGGGAUGGGAGAGCGAGCAGAAAGCAGAAAAACCAGCUUUGAACUAUGCAUGCAAGGCCUCUUUCAAGCCUCAAAUUCUAGCUGACAGACACUGCUGGAUUCCAUGGCUGGCCAGGAGAUGAUGUGAUUUCUAACACAUGUGGGCAGUGGGCACCCACCACCUGAGCAGGCUGCCGGCCUCACACCUGCUCUGACUUUGCUGCUAUCUGAACAGCAGAAUUACAUUUUUUUUUUUUUAAAAGAGCACGUGCUUUCAGUUGGAUAAGGACGGCUUGAGCCAGGGCAGUUCAGAAACACUGGAGGAGCAGAGGCAGCAGGGCGCUGGACCAGACAGAGGACGGGACUGUCCAAGGAGUGGUCUCCUUGUGAGGCAAUGAGCUGAGAUUACAGCUGGCAGCUAGAAACCACACCCCGUGGGUGCCACCCAGAGAGAGCUGAGACUGACCAUGGAGUAACGGCCGAGGUCAUGUGUGUAGCCCCGGGCCAUGGAGAGGGGGUACCCUGGAGGGGCUGGGCUGGUUGGCUGGGCUCAGGCUGACAGCCAACGGGCUCCCCAGUGUUCCGAAGAGGGAGUGGCCCUGGUGGUGCCUUUCUGUGGCUUAGAGGGGCUGAAGCUAGAACACUGCUGUGACUCUGGGCCUGCUGGUUCCCUGAGGGCAAGGGCCACCUUGGGUCAUCGCUCUGAACACCUCCCCUUGCUCUGAGCAGCACAGAUGGCCAGUGUGAACUGCCUCAGCAAUCCAGGGACUGUGUCCUCUCAUCAAGAUAUCAUGGGUAAUCAUGAGAAGACACAAAAAUCAAAACAUGUGAGAGAAGAAAAGACUAAUGAAAGCAGAGAUUCCCUGCGCGGCUCUUUCUAAGCCGACUAGAAGAGCAGCAGGCACUCCGAUAACUUCCGCGCAGUCCACUUUUAUUAUUCUUCAACUAACAGGCAAGAAGCCAAAGUUCCUGUAAAUAUAUGCAUAAUUCAUUUGUAAGCAGUUAAACCUCUACUUUUAUGGUAAAGCUUUCAAUUGUAUUGGAAAAUAGGCAGGGUGCAGUGGCUCAUGGCUGUAAUCCUAGCACUUUGGGAGGCGGAGGUGGGUGGAUUGCUUCAGCCCACAAGUUCGAGACCAGCCUGGGCAACAUGGUGAAACCACGUCUCUACUAAAAAUACAAAAAUUAGCUGUGCGUGGUGGUGCGCACCUGUGGUCCCAGCUACUCGGAAGGCUGAGCUGGGAGGACUGCUUGAGCCUGGGAGGUCCGGGCUGCAGUGAGCUGACAUCGUGCCAUUGCACUCCAGCCUGGGUGACAGAGUGAAACCCUGUCUCAAAAAAAUAAAAUAAACUGCUUUGAAUGAGGGUGAAGUAUUGUAUUUGCAUGAGAGGAGAGCAAGAGAUGUAAAAUAUUUAACUGGUAUUCAAAAGCCAAUUUUAAACAAUUCAAGUAAAUUCUAACAAUAAUGUAAUGACUUCUUUCACAAAAGACCAAAUACUCAGCAACUCUUUUG